rnacentral:rRNA from 1 species
AUGCAAAGUUUGAAAGGAAUGAAUUGGAAUCCGGGUGGUUUUGGUGACACAGCUAAGCAUUUAUUUGUUAAGGAAGCGAUUAGGGAACAUAAGUUAGAUUUCGUAGCCUUAUUGGAGACUGGGAGAUCGAACUUUUCUAUUCCAUUUCUGAAUCAGCUUGCUGCUGGUUACAACUAUACCUGGUUUUGCCUGCCACCUCAUGGUAGAUCUGGAGGUAUCCUAGUGGGGAUAAAUUCAGAUACACUUCAGGUUUUGAAAGUAAGUACAGGGGGUUUUUGUGUGAAGUUACAUAUUAAGUGUGAAGUUACAUAUUAA